rnacentral:lncRNA from 1 species
GCCGAGGUCCUCUUCUAGGAUUGGUUGUCCACUCAUAACCAUAAGAUAAUUAAAACGGGGGGGGGCAGGGUAAAAAAAAAACCCUUUUAUCAGCCAUAGGUUAAUGCAAGUGUUUAACAGAUGCUUCGCUAUUAAAAUAUUUCCCCCCAAUACUGAAGAAUCUUAAACCAGCAACCCUAACAGAGAUUGCGAAGAUUUUCAAAGUGGGGCACCUCGAUUUCUCGAAUCUGUGGUGUGGCGAAUAUCCGUGUUCCUCCUGCUUAACUAGCCUGUUUGAAGGCACAGUUCAUUCUCGAGCAAUUCGUCACCUCCUGGGGGUCUUCUCUUCCCGUCUACAGGAGAGUGUGACUUCAGAAAGAACUUCGGAUUGGCCAAGGCCAUUAAAGCUGGUGAGCGACUUGGAAGUCAUUUAGAAAGGAACAGACCUUCAACCUCAAGCCUUUGCGGGCACUGGGAAAGUGUCUUCCCAAUCAAUCUGGCUUGCAGGCGGCAGGACCAACUCUGACCUGGCUUAUCUUGUACCCAUCCUAAAUACACCAAACUCAAGAGGUAGCCAGGGCCGCCUCAACACCGAGGCAGGUCUGAUUCUAUUUAUUCUAAAGACAGAGUUGGAGAUGGGCUACCAUUGGUGUUGAUUGAGAUGACAAGCAGUCACCUGAGCCCAUACAGCUGGAUUGACAUAUGAGAAUCAGAGAAAUGAAUGAAAGAUUAGAGUGGGAGAAAGUGCUUGCUGCCAAGCUUGAUGACCUAAAUUGAAUACCUGGAACCUACACGACAGAAAGAGAGAGCUGACUGCUGAAAGAUGUCCUCAGAUCUUCACAUGUGCACAGUGGCACCUAUCCAACCAUGCACAUAGUAUAUUAAAAAUUAUUUUUUAAAAAA